UACGUAGGGCGCAAGCGUUGUCCGGAAUUAUUGGGCGUAAAGAGCUCGUAGGCGGCUUGUCACGUCGGCUGUGAAAUCCCGAGGCUCAACCUCGGGUCUGCAGUCGAUACGAGCAAACUAGAGUGUUGCAGGGGAGACUGGAAUUCCUGGUGUAGCGGUGAAAUGCGCAGAUAUCAGGAGGAACACCGGUGGCGAAGGCGGGUCUCUGGGCCGUAACUGACGCUGAGGAGCGAAAGCGUGGGGAGCGAACAGG
rnacentral:rRNA from 1 species